rnacentral:rRNA from 1 species
AUUGAACGCUGGCGGCAUGCCUUACACAUGCAAGUCGAACGGCAGCACGGACUUCGGUCUGGUGGCGAGUGGCGAACGGGUGAGUAAUGCAUCGGAACGUGCCAUUGAGUGGGGGAUAACGUAGCGAAAGUUGCGCUAAUACCGCAUAUUCUGUGAGCAGGAAAGCAGGGGACCGCAAGGCCUUGCGCUCUUUGAGCGGCCGAUGUCAGAUUAGCUAGUUGGUGAGGUAAAGGCUUACCAAGGCGACGAUCUGUAGCGGGUCUGAGAGGAUGAUCCGCCACACUGGAACUGAGACACGGUCCAGACUCCUACGGGAGGCAGCAGUGGGGAAUUUUGGACAAUGGGGGCAACCCUGAUCCAGCCAUGCCGCGUGAGUGAAGAAGGCC